rnacentral:rRNA from 1 species
CCUACGGGAGGCAGCAGUGAGGAAUCUUGGACAAUGGGCGAAAGCCUGAUCCAGCGACGCCGCGUGAAGGAAGAAGUCCUUCGGGAUGUAAACUUCUGAAUUAGCCGAAUAAGAGGGUAGCGGAUACGCUACAGAAGAAGGUAGGCUAAGAAAAGUCCCGGCUAACUACGUGCCAGCAGCCGCGGUAAU